rnacentral:rRNA from 1 species
CCUACGGGAGGCAGCAGUAGGGAAUUUUCCACAAUGGGCGAAAGCCUGAUGGAGCAACGCCGCGUGGGUGAAGAAGGUCUUCGGAUCGUAAAACCCUGUUGUUAGAGAAGAAAGUGCGUGAGAGUAACUGUUCACGUUUCGACGGUAUCUAACCAGAAAGCCACGGCUAACUACGUGCCAGCAGCCGCGGUAAUACGUAGGUGGCAAGCGUUGUCCGGAUUUACUGGGUGUAAAGGGCGUGCAGCCGGGAAGACAAGUCAGAUGUGAAAUCCCGCGGCUCAACCGCGGAACUGCAUUUGAAACUGUUUUUCUUGAGUACCGGAGAGGUCAUCGGAAUUCCUUGUGUAGCGGUGAAAUGCUUAGAUAUCACGAAGAACUCCGAUUGCGAAGGCAGCUUACUAAACUGCCACUGACAUUGAUGCUCGAAAGUGUGGGUAUCAAACAGGAUUAGAUACCCCAGUAGUC